rnacentral:rRNA from 1 species
GUGAGGAAUAUUGCUCAAUGGGCGAAAGCCUGAAGCAGCGACGCCGCGUGAGGGAUGAAAUCCGUUAGGAUGUAAACCUCUUUUGCGAGGGAAGAAUGACCCGAUGAAUCGGGUAGGGACUGUACCUCGUGAAUAAGCACCGGCUAACUACGUGCCAGCAGCCGCGGUAAUACGUAGGGUGCGAGCGUUGUCCGGAAUUACUGGGUGUAAAGGGUCCGCAGGCGGGGAGAUAAGUCGACGGUGAAAUUCUGCAGCUCAACUGCAGACCUGCCGUUGAUACUGUCUCUCUUGAGUUCGAGAGAGGAUAAUGGAAUUCAUGGUGUAGCGGUGAAAUGCGUAGAUAUCAUGAAGAACACCGAUUGCGAAGGCAGUUAUCUGGCUCGACACUGACGCUCAGGGACGAAAGCGUGGGUAGCAAACAGGAUUAGAAACCCCAGUAGUCC